rnacentral:rRNA from 1 species
UACGUAGGUGGCAAGCGUUGUCCGGAUUUACUGGGCGUAAAGGGCUCGUAGGUGGCCAACUAAGUCAGACGUGAAAUCCCCAGGCUCAACUUGGGAACUGCGUCUGAUACUGGAUGGCUUGAAUUCGGGAGAGGGAUGCAGAAUUCCAGGUGUAGCGGUGAAAUGCGUAGAUAUCUGGAGGAAUACCGGUGGCGAAGGCGGCAUCCUGGACCGAGAUUGACACUGAUGAGCGAAAGCUAGGGGAGCAAACGGG